rnacentral:rRNA from 1 species
AUUGAACGCUGGCGGCAUGCCUAACACAUGCAAGUCGAACGAGUGGCGGACGGGUGAGUAAUGUCUGGGAAACUGCCCGAUGGAGGGGGGUAACUACUGGAAACGGUAGCUAAUACCGCAUAACACAGGUUGUGCCCAGCUGGGAUUAGGUAGUAGGUGGGGUAAAGGCUCACCUAGGCGACGAUCCCUAGCUGGUCUGAGAGGAUGACCAGCGACACUGGAACUGAGACACGGUCCAGACGCCUACGGGAGGCAGCAGUGGGGAAUAUUGCACAAUGGGCGCAAGCCUGAUGCAGCCAUGCCGCGUGUAUGAAGAAGGCCUUCGGGUUGUAAAGUACUUUCAGCGAGGAGGCGUUACUCGCAGAAGAAGCACCGGCUAACUCCGUGCCAGCAGCCGCGGUAAUUC